UACGUAAGGGGCUAGCGUUGUCCGGAAUCAUUGGGCGUAAAGAGCGUGUAGGCGGCUUGGUAGGUCCGCUGUGAAAACUCGAGGCUCAACCUCGAGAUGUCGGCGGAAACCACUUGGCUAGAGUCCGGAAGAGGAGAGUGGAAUUCCUGGUGUAGCGGUGAAAUGCGCAGAUAUCAGGAAGAACACCUAUGGCGAAGGCAGCUCUCUGGGACGGUACUGACGCUGAGACGCGAAAGCGUGGGGAGCGAACAGG
rnacentral:rRNA from 1 species